GACGAACGCUGGCGGCGUGCUUAACACAUGCAAGUCGAACGGAAAGGCCCUGCUUUUGUGGGGUGCUCGAGUGGCGAACGGGUGAGUAACACGUGAGUAACCUGCCCUUGACUUUGGGAUAACUUCAGGAAAAUGGGGCUAAUACCGGAUAGGAGCUCCUGCUGCAUGGUGGGGGUUAGAAAGUUUCGGCGGUUGGGGAUGGACUCGCGGCUUAUCAGCUUGCUGGUGGGGUAGUGGCUUACCAAGGCUUUGACGGGUAGCCGGCCUGAGAGGGGGACCGGCCACAAUGGGACUGAGAGACGGCCCAGACGCCUACGGGAGGCAGCAGUAAGGAAUAUUGCACAGUGGGCGGAAGCCUGAUGCAGCAACGCCGCGUGCGGAAUGACGGCCUUCGAGUUGUAAACCGCUUUCACCUGUGACGAAGCGUGAGUGACGGUAAUGGGUAAAGAAGCACCGGCUAACUACGUG
rnacentral:rRNA from 1 species